rnacentral:rRNA from 1 species
AAACCAGCACCUCAAGUGGUCAGGAUGAUUAUUGGGCCUAAAGCAUCCGUAGCCUGUUCUGUAAGUUUUCGGUUAAAUCUGUAUGCUCAACAUACAGGCUGCCGGGAAUACUGCAGAACUAGGGAGUGCGAGAGGUAGACGGUACUCGGGAGGAAGUGGUAAAAUGCUUUGAUCUCUCGAUGACCACCUGUGGCGAAGGCGGUCUACCAGAACACGUCCGACGGUGAGGGAUGAAAGCUGGGGGAGCAAACCGUAUUAGAUACCCGGGUAGUCC